GUGAAUCAUCGAAUCUUUGAACGCACAUUGCGCCCCUUGGUAUUCCGGGGGGCAUGCCUGUUCGAGCGUCAUUACAACCCUCAAGCUCUGCUUGGAAUUGGGCACCGUCCUCACUGCGGACGCGCCUCAAAGACCUCGGCGGUGGCUGUUCAGCCCUCAAGCGUAGUAGAAUACACCUCGCUUUGGAGCGGUUGGCGUCGCCCGCCGGACGAACCUUCUGAACUUUUCUCAAGGUUGACCUCGGAUCAGGUAGGGAUACCCGCUGAACUUAAGCAUAUCAAUAAGCGGAGGA
rnacentral:misc_RNA from 1 species